UACGUAGGGGGCAAGCGUUGUCCGGAUUCACUGGGCGUAAAGCGCGUGUAGGCGGCGCGUCAAGUCGGGUGUGAAAGCCCGGGGCUCAACCAUGGAAGUGCGUCCGAAACUGGCAAGCUAGAGUCUUGACGAGGGUGGCGGAAUUCCUAGUGUAGAGGUGAAAUUCGUAGAUAUUAGGAAGAACACCAGUGGCGAAGGCGGCUCACUGGCCCGGUACUGACGCUGAGGCGCGAAAGCGUGGGGAGCAAACAGG
rnacentral:rRNA from 1 species